CAAUGCAUGUGGGGACGGAGAAGGUUAGGUCAGCCGGGUGUUGGAUGUCCCGGUUCAAGCGUGUAGGUUGGUUCUUUAGGCAAAUCCGGAGAGCUAAGACUGAGACGUGAUAACGAGCGUACUUGUACGUGAAGUGAUUGAUACCAUGCUUCCAAGAAAAGCCACUAAGCUUCAGUUGUAUAGAGACCGUACCGCAAACCGACACAGGUGGGCAGGAUGAGAAUUCUAAGGCGCUUGAGAGAACCCGGGAGAAGGAACUCGGCAAAUUAGCACCGUAACUUCGGGAGAAGGUGCGCCCCGGUAGUGUGUAGAGAUUUACUCUCGAAGCAUGAUGGGGUUGCAAAAAAGGUGGCUGCGACUGUUUAAUAAAAACACAGCACUCUGCAAACACGAAAGUGGACGUAUAGGGUGUGACGCCUGCCCGGUGCUGGAAGAUUAAAUGAUGGGGUGCAAGCUCUUGAUUGAAGUCCCAGUAAACGGCGGCCGUAACGAUAACGGUCCUAAGGUAGCGAAAUUCCUUGUCGGGUAAGUUCCGACCCGCACGAAUGGCGUAACGAUGGCCACACUGUCUCCUCUCGGGACUCAGCGAAGUUGAAAUGUUUGUGAAGAUGCAAUCUCCCCGCGGCUAGACGGAAAGACCCCAUGAACCUUUACUGCAGCUUUACAUUGGACUUUGACAAGAUUUGUGUAGGAUAGGUGGGAGACUAUGAAGCGGUGUCGCUAGAUAUCGUGGAGUCAUCCUUGAAAUACCACCCUGAUGUUGUUGAGGUUCUAACCUAGGUCCGUAAUCCGGACUGGGGACCGUGUAUGGUAGGCAGUUUGACUGGGGCGGUCUCCUCCCAAAGAGUAACGGAGGAGUGCGAAGGUAACCUAGGUACGGUCGGAAAUCGUACUGAUAGUGCAAUGGCAAAAGGUUGCUUGACUGCGAGACGGACAGGUCGAGCAGGUGCGAAAGCAGGUCAUAGUGAUCCGGUGGUUCUGUAUGGAAGGGCCAUCGCUCAACGGAUAAAAGGUACUCUGGGGAUAACAGGCUGAUUCCUCCCAAGAGUUCAUAUCGACGGGGGAGUUUGGCACCUCGAUGUCGGCUCAUCACAUCCUGGGGCUGUAGCCGGUCCCAAGGGUAUGGCUGUUCGCCAUUUAAAGUGGUACGUGAGCUGGGUUUAAAACGUCGUGAGACAGUUUGGUCCCUAUCUGCCGUGGGCGCUGCAAGUUUGAGGGGACCUGCUCCUAGUACGAGAGGACCGGAGUGGACGCACCUCUGGUGGACCAGUUAUCAUGCCAAUGGUAUAGCUGGGUAGCUAAGUGCGGAAGAGAUAAACGCUGAAAGCAUCUAAGCGUGAAACUCGCCUCGAGAUGAGACUUGCCUCUGGCUUUAAGCCAGCUAAAGAGUCGUUCAAGACCAGGACGUUGAUAGGUCAGGUGUGGAAGUGCAGUAAUGCAUUAAGCUAACUGAUACUAAUUGCUCGUGAGGCUUGAUCCG
rnacentral:rRNA from 1 species